UACGUAGGGUGCGAGCGUUAAUCGGAAUUACUGGGCGUAAAGCGUGCGUAGACGGUUAUUUAAGUCGGGUGUUGAAAGCCCCGGGCUCAACCUGGGAAUUGCAUUCGAGACUGAAUAGCUAGGGUACGGUAGAGGGAAGCGGAAUUUCCGGUGUAGCGGUGAAAUGCGUAGAUAUCGGAAGGAACAUCAGUGGCGAAAGCGGCUUCCUGGACCAGUACCGACGUUCAGGCACGAAAGCGUGGGGAGCAAACAGG
rnacentral:rRNA from 1 species